GAUAAACGCUGGCGGCGUGCCUAGCACAUGCAAGUCGAACGAUCCCGCAAGGGAGAGUGGCGGAAGGGUGAGUAACACGUGGGAAUCUACCUCCUCGCAGGGAACAACCUCUCGAAAGAGAGGCUAAUACCCAAAAGGGUCAGAAAUGAUCAGAGUCGAAAGGCGUGAGGAGAGGAGCCCGCGGCCCAUCAGCUAGUUGGUGAGGUAAUGGCUUACCAAGGCUACGACGGGUAGGGGAUCUGAGAGGAUGUCCCCACACUGGAACUGAAACACGGUCCAGACGCCUACGGGUGGCAGCAGUGAGGAAUAUGGACAAUGGGCGAAAGCCCGAUCCAGCAACGCCGCGUGGAGGAUGAA
rnacentral:rRNA from 1 species